GACGAACGCUGGCGGCGUGCUUAACACAUGCAAGUCGAACGAAGUGGCGAACGGGUGAGUAACGCGUAAUCAACCUGCCCUUCAGAGGGGGACAACAGUUGAAAACGACUGCUAAUACCGCAUACUGAAGGAGGGGAGUGGGUCUGAUUAGCUCGUUGGAGGGGUAACGGCCCACCAGGGCGAUGAUCAGUAGCCGGUCUGAGAGGAUGAACCGGCAAAUGGGGACUGGGACACGGCCCAGACUUCUACGGGAGGCAGCAGUGGGGAAUCUUCCGCAAUGGACGAAAGUCUGACGGAGCAACGCCGCGGGAGUGAUGACGGCCUUCGGGUUGGAAAGCUCUGUUAAUCGGGACGCGGUACCGGCAUAGAAAGCCACGGCUAACUACGUGCCAGCAGCCGCGGUAAUAC
rnacentral:rRNA from 1 species